GCAAGUCGAGCGAGAAAGCACUUCGGUGUGAGUACAGCGGCGGACGGGUGAGUAACACGUGAGCGAUCUACCCGACAGUGGGGGAUAACCCAGGGAAACCUGAGCUAAUACCGCAUGUUGCGCCGGCUUGGAAGCCGAGCGUUAAAGCGGGCCUCUCUUUGAAGCUCGUGCUGUCGGAUGGGCUCGCGGCCUAUCAGCUUGUUGGUGGGGUAACGGCCUACCAAGGCGAUGACGGGUAGCUGGCGUGAGAGCGCGACC
rnacentral:rRNA from 1 species